rnacentral:rRNA from 1 species
GACGAACGCUGGCGGCGUGCCUAAUACAUGCAAAUAGAACGCUGAAGAGAGGAGCUUGCUCUUCUUGGAUGAGUUGCGAACGGGUGAGUAACGCGUAGGUAACCUGCCUUGUAGCGGGGGAUAACUAUUGGAAACGAUAGCUAAUACCGCAUAACAAUGGAUGACACAUGUCAUUUAUUUGAAAGGGGCAAUUGCUCCACUACAAGAUGGACCUGCGUUGUAUUAGCUAGUAGGUGAGGUAAUGGCUCACCUAGGCGACGAUACAUAGCCGACCUGAGAGGGUGAUCGGCCACACUGGGACUGAGACACGGCCCAGACUCCUACGGGAGGCAGCAGUAGGGAAUCUUCGGCAAUGGGGGCAACCCUGACCGAGCAACGCCGCGUGAGUGAAGAAGGUUUUCGGAUCGUAAAGCUCUGUUGUAAGUCAAGAACGGGUGUGAGAGUGGAAAGUUCACACUGUGACGGUAGCUUACCAGAAAGGGACGGCUAACUACGUG